rnacentral:sRNA from 1 species
AAGUAAGGACCCUCAGCUAAAAUCCGUCACGUCCUGUGACGAACGCUGACGUCACCACAUCCUGUGGA